rnacentral:rRNA from 1 species
UACGUAGGUGGCAAGCGUUGUCCGGAUUUACUGGGCGUAAAGGGAGCGUAGGCGGACCUUUAAGUGAGAUGUGAAAUACCUGGGCUCAACCCGGGUGCUGCAUUUCAAACUGGAGGUCUAGAGUGUUGGAGGGGAAAGUGGAAUUCCUAGUGUAGCGGUGAAAUGCGUAGAGAUUAGGAAGAACACCAGUGGCGAAGGCGACUUUCUGGACAAUAACUGACGCUGAGGCUCGAAAGCGUGGGGAGCAAACAGG